UCCUUAUAUUUGUGUCUUUCAGAGUCACAUUUUCAUUUCACCAUACCAGUUAGCAAAAAACACAUGAACCCAGAUGUCCCUGAAGAUGUGACUUUGAGGAAAAAAACAAGAGGGGGAGAUGAGUGACAAAACUCUGUUUACCUACAGCUCUGGAGUGAGGCUGCUGAUUGUGCAGUCCUGGAUUCCUGGUGUGGAAGGAAAGUGUGGGUGUUUGGUUGCCACAUCCUGGGAGUGAGGUAGAGGUAAGGACAAGCACACUCAUGUCUCAUUCUAGCACAGAAUGGAGUCAUGGCCAGGUUGAACAUAUGGCCUCAGAAGUGAGUUGGAGUCCUGAGAAAGAUAUAAUCCAGGAUCAGGAACCCUUGCCACCUGGGUUCAGAUGACGCCUAGAGUUAGGAAUUAAAGGGUAUGUGAUGGCCUGCAAUAAAGUAUUUUUCAGGUUCUGUUUUGUCUGCAGGCUCAUCUCACCUGAGAUGAGGUAUUGGAGCAGUACGAGCACAUCUUGAGCCUAGGGGAUGGACCUUUGCCUGGAUCUAAUCUAGAGUUAAAUCAGAACACUGCAUCCUUGACCCUGCUCCAUACACCUGGCUUUAGUGGGUACAGUUCUCAAAUGAGAAAAUGAAAGAAUGUGGAACAGAAAUGUCAGACUUUCUUGGGAAAUACAUGUCUAACAGUAUGUAAGAGGUUAGUAUUAUUUUAAUUUCAACAAUCCUAGAUGGAUUUUCCUUGGUUAGGUUAAGAAGUGAAUAUAGGUAUUUCCCAAUUCCCUUUACCUGAUUCAAGUGCCUUGAGGAUUACGUAAAAUAUCAGGAGUACUGUGUUCCAGGUUGGUUAAAUAUUGCUCUGGUUCUAGUUAUAUUCUUCCAUAUCCUACCAGCAGGAAAAUUUACUCCAGAAGAGAAUGAACAAAACAGGAGAGAAGGAACUUACUUAUUGCCCAGUAUAUACCUUGCCUAUCUCCUUUUAUUUUUAUUUUAAAGGAGUAGUAUGGUAUAGAGUGACAUCCACUUUGAAAAUAUUUUCCCAUCACUGCUCUACCAGCUCUAAAAGUGUCUUUUGUUUGGAUGUUGUUAUUAUCUGCUAGACACUGAUAGGAAUGUGGAGUCGCUCAGUGAGAAAGGGAAACAUGGUUCUCAUUCAGAAGGAAUGCAGCUUCAUCCACACAGUUUACAGCACAGUUGUAUUUGAAGUUGAGCCACAGGAUCUUGUGGCAAUAAAAAACAUUGUGAUUUAUAGGAAAGUGUCACUCUGGCUGUCUCCUUUAUAAAAUCUUUUUACUACUCUUGUUGAAUAUAAAUCAGAAUUAUGUGGCCAACAGUAUGAUGGUUUUGGCAAAAUGUUGUGAAGACAAAAAAUAAUCAGGUUUGAAUUGUCUUGGCCUUAUUCUGCAGAGAGAUAUUAUUGGAAUUUAUUGACUUGCCAAGAUCAAUAUCCUUGUCUUUAAAAAUAUCUGUGUGUAUGUCUAAAUUAAUAUCCAAAUUAAUUAAAGGAUGUUCACCAUGAAGUUUACCUUCAAAUCACAAUAACAGUAGAUCUUAACUGCUUGAAAUAAAGGUGACAGAAUUUCAAAAUCCCACACUGUCCAUAUUUGUAGCACUAGACUUCAGAGUCUUUGGGGGGGGUUGUCUCUUUCCAGGGCUUAAUGUGAUGUGUCUCAGCAUAUUUGAUUGAAAGUUAUCAAACUUCAUCCAGGAAUUUUAGUAGGAGAUAAACCUCUCUUCCCACACUGUAUAUUAGUUCAAUUUCUAAGGAAAAACAUGUGUGUGACAAGAAGUAAAUGAUCAAUUAAUCAUUUGUCACAGUUCAGUUUCUGCCUUUGCAGUGAAGCCAGUAGAGAAAGGGAGUGUUAGAGGAAGGUGCAGGAGGCCAGAAGACACCAAAGAGAGGUGACCAGAAUUCGAGACCAGUCCUGCACCACCUCUCUCAAAGCCACAGUGUUAAACAAGGGUUGCCAGCCAGUGCCAUUUUAGCCACGUGUAGUUCAUGAGUGUAUAGCCAGUGUGGUGGCUUGAAUUUGGCUGUGGACAGACUCAGGCCGUGGUGACAGUAUCUCCAGUCUGCCCUAAGAUCCAAGCAAAGUCCCAGCUCUAGCCCAUUCCUGAGCAGAGCAGAAGGAUUCAUGGAGACCCAGGGACACCUCUUGAGUCCUCUGGGGGAUGGUGGAUCUUGGUCAAAUGAGGAUAGAGAGCAAAAGGAUUAAUUUCACCAUCACUUGCUCUACCAGCACUUACAGCUGGAUGUAAAUAGUGUUUGGAGAAACUCUGUGCUUGCACCAUACAGGAGACUGGGUUAGACAGAGGUUGUAACCCUCCCUUCUCGCCUUUAUGAAUUUAUGAGUUCACAGAUCCUUCCCUGUAUUAAAAGACCUCUACUGCUGGUAGCUGAGCAUCUGUGCGUGUCAUCUGUUUGUAAUUAGCUGUACAGCAAUUGGAACAGGCAGCACUCUCCUGACCCAUAAAUUAUUCAGCAUACCCAGUUCAGAGUGGUGCCCUGGUCAGAGGCACCAGCUGAGAUGCACAAACCACAGAAGAGCUUGGAUAUGCAGUGGAAGGACUGAAGGGACUCAGCUGUCUUACGCAGCCAGCUCCUUGUCUCUUGCAAGUCCACAUUUCAAAGAAUAUUGAGCGAUAAUGCACAGGGGUAUAGAGGGCAAAAUAAUCCAUCCCUUGCUUCUGCAUCAAUGUCAAUACUUUUCUAAAAAGUGAGAUGUAAGGAGAAGCCUAAAGCUGGGCGUAACCUUGUUCUAAGGUUUUAUUCUUUGAUGGAAAAAUUAUCAUAUAGGCAAAAAUAGUUGAAAUAGCACUCAAAUGGAGCUCACAAAUGGAACAAAGAAUAUUUCUAUGUCAAGUCAUAAAUAAAAAUGGACUACAGGAUGAUUUAAUCACAACUGCUUACUGACUGCAGAAACCAGAGUUGAUACAGAUUUCAGAAAUAUUCAGAAAUAUGAAUAUAUAAGGUAAUGACCCCGAUGUACUUUUAUUCCAUUCUAUUUUCUGUGCAUCAAAAAUGCGGGUAUAUCUCUAUGAAGAGUCAUUUUGGCAUGCUUGAAGUAUACUGGUCUGUUUUGACCACUCUGCUGAGUAUUUAGGAUUAAGGGAUACAGAUUUCUGACUUCUGAAUUAGAGGUAUGUUUUCUGAUAUAUUAUAUUAUAUUUCUCCCUCAGUCUUCCCAUUUGUGCAGUGGAGGUAAAGCUAUCUACUUUCUUUCUUCAAGGAAGCACUGGUGGGAUUAACGUAUUUAUUUAGGAUUUUAAAAAUGGAAAAGGUCAGACAAGCACAAAUUGAAUUUAUUAUAACUAUGCAUUUCUUGCCUUACAUAUACAGUGAAAGGUGUUUCCCUUUGCCUCAAUUAUCAGAAGAUUGCAACAGCCCAGAACAUUCAGCAAAAGCAAUCGCAGAUGUUGACUACACCCACAUAUUUCUGAAGCUUUUGGUGAUAAGCACGCAGGCUGCAUACUACAGGAAUAAGCAUGUACUGAUUCACAUAGAAAAUGAAAAUACAGCAAUUUAAACUAACCGCUGAUGAAUUGUGUCUAUCCCCCUCUAGCUAUUUGCUUCAAUAAAAAAAAAAAUUAAAAAAUCAGUACUUUAGCUUCUUCCUACACAAGAUGAUAAGCUUUCAUUCCUCUUUCUUCUAUUACGCCAAUGUGUCAAAAAUGGCAAUGUGGUAUCUUUCAAAGUCACUUCAGUAAGAUCAGAUAUUGAAGAUCAAAGUGAGAAAGAAAUUGGAAUAAAACUCACAUUGACAUUUGAAUAAUACAGAGAAGUUUAAAUGUUAAAACUCUUAAACACCUGGGGGGUUAUAGUUAGCUACUAUAUUUUUCUGUAUACACAGUUUGUUAGCCAAUACUUCUGGCAGAAUGGGAAGUAGGAAAAUGGAAAAAACUAUUAUAUUAUGGGGAAAUAUUAUAAUAAUUUACUUAAUCUUUCAGAGACACGUUCAUGCUCAAAAAUGCAGUGCGAUACAUGUGAUAGUUUAAUAUGAGGACACAAAAUUUUUAAAUUCUGGUUUGUAAACUCCAGCUUUUCAAAUAGAGAGCUUUAAGUCUCCAGGCAAGUAGAUUUCACUGGUUUGGAGGAAUUUGUAGUUCUAAGACUCUGAAAUUAAGAAUGUAUAUUUAAUUAAUAAUUAAUUCCCAGAUUUAGGAAGAAAAUGUUACUCACUAAAAUAGAAAAACACUUGACCAUAAACUAAAUGCAUCUUGUUGUUUUCUCUAUAACUGUUCUUGGUUUCAAGCCCUGUCAGUGACAAAGCCACAUGAAAACUGUAACUAAAAUAAGCUUUCCAAGCCAGUAGUUUUGCAAUCACUGAGUCGUUAUUCUGCGGAUGCGUAGCCAGGCCCCAGGUUCUUGUAGUUAGCCACAGCCCUGGCUGAGCCCCUGUCUUUGCCCUGGGCAUUUAUUAAUCUGUUUUGGGCACACAGUUACAUUCCUUAUGUUUUAAACUUCUCCAAGUAUCACAACCAAGCACUGGCUUUAGUUUGUGGUUGCUGGUGCAAUGUAGAACCUCUUUUUCUUCCUUCUGAGGAUGGAAAGCCCAAGAGUGAUCCAUUUGCAUGAACAAUGUCUAUUGUGUAGAGGAAUGUGAUAACAGAAACAAAUGAAUUUAGCAAAAUUACUGCUUUGACUAGCAAAAGAAAUGUACAUAUACUGAUAAAAUAAUAAAUGCACAGAUGCCUUUACCGGUCUUGUUUCUUUACAUUUGGAGAGCGUUCUGGGAUUUUGAAUGAAGAGACACUAUAGGGCUCAGAGUCCCUCCCCUUCACAAUGUCUGCUAUAAAUGGAUUUUCUGGUAACAACCUUGAACCUUGCUUUAAAAGGGCACAUGAAGGUUAUUUUAGAAAGUUCCUCUCAUGUCUACAUCAAUAUUAUACCUUAGCUAUCGAGUCUUGAAACAAGUCUGUGCUUCCAAAGCUACUAAUUCUUACAUAUUUAUGUAUAUGUAGAGAUACCCAUAUUUAUAUUUAUAUCUAUAUACACUGCUUUUAAUUUACUCUGGAUGGGCUGAUGCCCACUACCUUGAAUAUAUCUGAAAGCAGAGCAAAUGGCCAGGGCCUGUCCUAUUUGAAAAAAAUCCAAUUAAUUACCUCAGAAAGAACUCUGAAAUACUCCUGAGUGCAAUUAAUGUGGAGGGCUGUUGAGUUUGGCCUAAAGCUUGGCCUUAAGACUUCUCUUGUACAACAGAACAGAUGUAAUCAAUAAGUCUGUUAAUAGGUCAGAAACUUAAGUGCUUCAUGUUUAAGGAAAUGGUAGAAGAAACAGUGAGAAUGUAGUCUGUCAAGACACAUGGUGUUUAAUAUUUGUAGAGAUUUAACAGAAUUUUUUUUACUAGAAGAUGACACCAGGAUGUUCCAGCUAACACUGAGCUAGAUAUGAAGACACAGAUGGAAUAAGAAACAAGGAUUUCUGCCCAAAGUGCUAGGAGAGAAUAGGAAUCACUGUAAUACCAUGUCUCUGUCCAGGUUUAGAAAUGGCUAAUAAGUAUCGGAGCUGUUUUCCUCAAGCUCUUAUGGGUACACAGCAAGCUUAUUCUGCUGUCCUACUGACCUUCCUUCAUGGCCAAAGCCCUGGAAGCAGGCUUGAGACUGCAUCUGCUGCCACAGAAGUUUAAUCAGCAAACCAGGACUGGUUGUGCCUCCCCUGCUCUCUCCUCAUUCGCUGUGUACUACUGAGAUUUGGAGACGUAGUACAGG